rnacentral:rRNA from 1 species
UACAGGGGCGCAAGCGUUGCUCGGAAUCACUGGGCGUAAAGCGUACGCAGGCGGACCGUUAAGUCGGGUGUGAAAGCCCGGGGCUCAACCCCGGAACUGCAUUCGAUACUGGCGGUCUUGAAUACGGGAGAGGUGAGUGGAAUUCCUGGUGUAGAGGUGAAAUUCGUAGAUAUCAGGAGGAACACCGGUGGCGAAAGCGGCUCACUGGCCCGAUAUUGACGCUCAUGUACGAAAGCGUGGGGAGCAAACAGG